AUUGAACGCUGGCGGCAGGCCUAACACAUGCAAGUCGAGCGAGCGGCGGACGGGUGAGUAAGGUCUGGGAAACUGCCGGAUGGAGGGGGAUAACUACUGGAAAAGGUAGCUAAUACCGCAUAACAUCAGAUGUGCCCAGAUGGGAUUAGCUAGUUGGUGGGGUAACGGCUCACCUAGGGGACGAUCCCUAGCUGGUCUGAGAGGAUGACCAGCCACACUGGAACGGAGACACGGGCCAGACUCCGACGGGAGGCAGCCGUGGGGAAUAUUGCACAAUGGGCGCAAGCCUGAUGCAGCCAUGCCGAGUGUGUGAAGAAGGCCUUCGGGUUGUAAAGCACUUUCAGCGGGGAGGCGUUACCCGCAGAAGAAGCACCGGCUAACUCCGUGCCAGCAGCCGCGGUAAUUC
rnacentral:rRNA from 1 species